rnacentral:lncRNA from 1 species
UUUUAGCAAUAGUUGCCUUCAGUUGAGAACAUUCAGUACCUAAAUUCUGCUCACAUGCUUUCAGGUUAUCAUUCUCCCUUGAGAGCAUCAAAUUCUCAUUCUUCAUCUUCUCAAUCUCUGAUAACAAGGUCUGCACUUCUUUCUCAGCUAGCUGGGCCUUCUCGAGUUGGGAUGACAAGAAGGUGCAUUUCUCUUGGUGUACUGUAACCUCAUUAUACAUAUUGGUCUUUGCCGCUUCAAGGUUUUCCACGGCUUCCUGCAGAUUUGAAAUUUGUUGGUUUUUCUCUUCUAACUUAUUACCGAGCUCAAGAGUAGAAGCAACAGCUUCAUUCUUUUGUCCUUGUACUGUUGCAAGAUCAUUUUGUAAAUUGGAAUUCACCAACUCCAAGUCUUCAUUAUUCUUAUGCAUAAUAGAAAUCCUCUCAAGUUCCUGUUCCAAGUCAUUACCAAGAUUCUCAAAAGAAGCUUCUAGCUGCUGUAGCUCUGAUGACAGAGAAUUUUUUUCGUUUUGCAGCACUGCUAUUUUAUCGUUCAAAUCACCAUUUGUUGAUUCUAGUUCCUUAACACUUGACUGUGCCUUCUCCAACUCAGUUAGGCACUUGGAAUGUUUGGAUACUAGCAUUUCCUUUUCUUCUGCUGCAGCUCCACGUUCUAUGUUCAUACUGUUCAUUAGCUCCUCUUUCUCUGCAAUCAGAUCAUCUAUCUCCACGCCUAAAAGUUUAAGUUUGCUCUCAAGUAAAUGUUUUUCUUCAGUCAAGGUGCUAUUUUCAGCUUUUGUUUCAGCAAUAGUUGCCUUCAGCUGAGAACAUUCAGUACCUAAAUUCUGCUCACAUGCUUUCAGGUUAUCAUUCUCCCUUGAGAGCAUCAAAUUCUCAUUCUUUAUCUUCUCAAUCUCUGAUAACAAGGUCUGCACUUCUUUCUCAGCUAGCUGGGCCUUCUCGAGUUGGGAUGACAAGAAGGUGCAUUUCUCAUUUGUUUCUUGUAGCUGAUUGCUCAAAUCCCCAUUCAUGUUCUCCAGAUCUACUAUUGAAAUCUUCAGGUCAUCUCUCUCUUUUUCAGUAACUUGCUUCUCAACAGACAGUGUCCUAAUCUCAUUCUCCAUGAGUGUUAUUGUUUUGUGUGAUUCUCCUGCCUCUCUCUCUGUAGUUUCAACCAAUAACUUUAGAUUUUCAUUCUCAGAUGACAAAUUUGCAACAUCCGAACUUAACUCUACCCUUGUAGCUUCUUUAUCCUUGAUUGCUUUAUCCAGUAGGUGCUUCAGAUCAGAUAUUUCCUUUGCUUGUUCUUCUGUGUUUUGUUUCAGCUUCUCAAUUUCUGCUUCCAGACUUUCUUCUUUGGCUUCACGAUCUUCAACA